rnacentral:rRNA from 1 species
AACGAACGCUGGCGGCAUGCCUAACACAUGCAAGUCGAACGAAGCCUUCGGGCUUAGUGGCGCACGGGUGCGUAACGCGUGGGAAUCUGCCCCUCGGUUCGGAAUAACAGUUAGAAAUGACUGCUAAUACCGGAUGAUGACGAAAGUCCAAAGAUUUAUCGCCGAGGGAUGAGCCCGCGUAGGAUUAGCUUGUUGGUGGGUAAUGGCCCACCAAGGCGACGAUCCUUAGCUGGUCUGAGAGGAUGAUCAGCCACACUGGGACUGAGACACGGCCCAGACUCCUACGGGAGGCAGCAGUGGGGAAUGUUGGACAAUGGGCGAAAGCCUGAUCCAGCAAUGCCGCGUGAGUGAUGAAGGCCUUAGGGUUGUAAAGCUCUUUUACCAGGGAUGAUAAUGACAGUACCUGGAGAAUAAGCUCCGGCUAACUCCGUGCCAGCAGCCGCGGUAAU